UCCACAACUCUACUGAAAAUGAGCUCAUUCCGGUGGUAAAUAUCGACGGCAGAGAUCAGUUCGGAUGGACGAUGAGGAGUAACCAGAGAAGUAGCGGAAGCUUGAUCGAUGGUGAGGAGAGGAAAGGCGGCAGAGAAGAAGGAACGAGGACCGUUGGGAAAAGUAGAAAUGACUUGGCGCAACCGCGGCAUCUCGGUGGACGGCCAAGUAGAGCGACAAAUGUUGGUCCACAAAUCAUCUUGAGAAGCGAGGGAGUUGAGUUCCGUGGAGGAACAAGAGGAGGAGGCGAGGGAGGGUCCGUCGAGAAGUGUUAGGACAUGCGUUUGGAGAAUGUCUGGAUGGACGGCGGAGAUAGAUGAAGAGCAGCCGCCUUGGUGGACAGUGGCUGUUUCAGCGGUGGAAGGAAAUGGCGAGGGUGUUAGUUUUUCAAAGGAAAAAGCCAUUUAAUUGGUUCUUGUCUGAAGAGAAAAGAAAGGUGUUAGAUUGUGUGGG
rnacentral:misc_RNA from 1 species